rnacentral:lncRNA from 1 species
AAGCGCCGGAAGGCGCCCAGGCAGCGCCGGGCCUCGGCCCUAAAGGCUCUAAAGCCAAGUUCCUGCGGAAAGCUUCGUGUCCGGGGCUAUCAAGGGGCUGCGGAUGAGGCGCGGCGCACGGUUGGGGGCUGUGCCCCUGCAGCCUCCCUAGUGCAGGGUUACAGCUGCGGAUUCUGCAGAAAGGGGCAGCGCCUGCGCCUGCACUUCGCAGCCUCCGCCCUCCUUGCUCCGCGUGGUGAAGGGAGCAUCACCGCUCAGCAACUUGCUUCCGAGGCAGGUGCACUGGUCUGAUUCCCUUUACUGCUCCGCGCUGCCUGGACCACAGGACAUUUUCCUGAAGACCUGAAGGCCCAAUAGUCUCUCCCAUCACCUC